rnacentral:rRNA from 1 species
GACGAACGCUGGCGGCAGGCUUAACACAUGCAAGUCGAACGGAGCAUUUCGGUGCUUAGUGGCGGACGGGUGAGUAACACGUGGGAACGUGCCUUUAGGUUCGGAACAACACAGGGAAACUUGUGCUAAUACCGGAUAAGCCUUUCGAGGGAAAGAUUUAUCGCCUUUAGAGCGGCCCGCGUCUGAUUAGCUAGUUGGUGAGGUAAAGGCUCACCAAGGCUACGAUCAGUAGCUGGUCNGAGAGGGAUGGCCAGCCACAUUGGGACUGAGACACGGCCCAAACUCCUACGGGAGGCAGCAGUGGGGAAUCUUGCGCAAUGGGCGAAAGCCUGACGCAGCCAUGCCGCGUGGAUGAU